CUCUGUGAAGUGAAAGAUGCAUAUUCAUUGCGAUGAAACAUGUCUUAUAUGCUCCAGGUUUGACCGAGUGAUGAAAACAGCUCAGCUGCCUGGAUUAUUUGCCGAUGUCUCCAGGGGGAAGAAGAUACAAGGACAGAGCUGGGCUGGGUUUCUCGUCUGAAGAGCUGCUCCCAUUCCCAGCUCCCCCGUGAGCUACGUGUGUGACCUCAGGGAGAUGUGGCAGCAAACCCAGCCUCUGUUUCCUCACUAUAAAAAGACGGUUAAGAGCCUAUAUUGUUGGAUGAUUGCGAGGUUAAGUGAGACGCCGGGUGCAGAAUCACUUUGAAAACUGUAAAGUGCCGUGCCGAUGGUAGUAAUCUCUCUUAGUCAUCCCUAGAGUUGGUUUCCCAGCUCACCUGUUUUCUUCAUUGCCUGGCAGCUUUCCUACCUGGGGCAUGUGACUAGGAUUGAAGUGCUAGGGAGCCCAGAAACUCUACUUCCCAGCAAGAGCUGUAAAACAUCCCAUCCUAAUUGACAGAGACAAAGGGGAACCAUGACUCAGAGGCAGCUCCGGGGGAACGGCCAGCUCAGACAAGAGGCUUUGCAGAGGCUCCUCGGGCCUUAAGACGUCUUCUUGCUUGGGUGUGCCAGGGAAUGUGAGCAGACCCACUGGACGCUUUGGUUGUUCGAGGAGAAAUUUGGAAACCAGACUACGAUCAGAUGGAUGUUUAACAUCACCGAGAAUGGACCAGAUUGUCAGAUGGAAAUAGAUUUGGAGCUGGAUCAAUCCCAUCCUCGACUCUGCCCUCCUUCUCUCGGGAUUAUAAACAUAAGAUGAUUACAGCACGCUUCCUGCAUGUGCCUUCCAUGUGGUUCCAGUGUCAGCUCACAAACACAUGUGGCUACUAGAAAAUGUAAAAUUACAUACGCGGCUCAUACCACAUUUCUGUGGGACAGUGGUGAUCUGGAGGAACGACAGAGACUCUGUGACGCCCUGGCUGAGUCUCAGGCUUUGCCUGCACUUGUCCUGGUGCCCUGCAGCCUUCAGGCUAUGCAGUGAGUGAAGAGCGUGCUGAGGACCUAUCAUGUAUCAGGUUAUACGGGAUUCAGUUUAUGCACAGUCCAGCUCCACGGACCUGGCCUGGUGGGGAGCAGGUCUGGCAACGGCUGGGUCUGGGCCUGCCAGUCUGGAACCACCCACCACUACCACUCCUACAGCUAAGGGGCCGGCUGUAAGGGCUGUCCCUCAGGUUGCUCUCAAGCAUGACCCAGAGGCCCCCGCCUGGCACCUGUCCUGCAUCUUUCAACUCCCGCUUUUCAUGCUGGGGCUUCCUGUUCGCAAGAAGGUGAGGAACCUCCUCUGGGCUCAUCUGCUUUCACAUCACUUGGAAGUACGAGGGCGUUAACACCCAUAGGGCAGACUUUGACCAAGGAGAGACGGAGAUCGAAGGAUACAUUCUUCUCUCCUCCCCUGGGCAAGAUUGUUUGGAGAGGAAUUGCUUCAUUCAGCCCCUCCAAAGAUGCCCCAUGGGACCCAGCCAUCACUUUUUACAACACUGUGGCCAUUUGGAAAACAUAUUCCCUGAGGUCUGCUCUCCCUGCUUCUAUGCUUUACCCCUUUUCCCUCAUGUCCGCUUCCCUGGGGUUGCAUUCCUUUAAGCCACGUUUUCUAGGGAACUGGGCCAAGGCAGUAGGUGAUAAGUGCUGCAGAAAGAGAACAUUCAGAGUGGAUAAAGGGGGGCCAGGUGUGCCGGUGGAGGCCUGCAGUUGUCAGCACCAGCCUUGUUGAAAGGUGAUAUUUGAGCACAGAUUUGAAGGUGAGGAAG